UUCCCUGGAGUCCAGUGGUUAAGACUCUGCUCUCGCAAUGCAGAAUGCAGGUUCAAUCCCUGCUUGGGGAA
rnacentral:tRNA from 1 species